CUCUCUCUCUCUCUCUCUCUCUCUCUCUCUCUCCCUCCCCUCCCCCUCCCUCCGUCUUCCUCUUUUUCUCCUCCUUCUUUUCCUCCUCCUCCUUUCUCUCUUCUGAAUUCAAAUCCAUACUAUUCCUGCAAGAUGCUGAGCAGGUCGUAAGAGUUGGAGAGGAAAUUAAACGUCAUAAAGAAAAGUCCAUUUUCAGCUUAAAUGUCUGAACAUUACGAUUUCCUUCAGAAAAACAAUGAAGCGCACUCGGGGGCUUUAGAGCCAUACUUGGAUAUGCCCACUGCUGCUACUCUACAAAGAACAAGAAAAGACAUUUCCACUUUGGAGUCACUGGUGGAAGGAUGGAUGAGAUUUCCUGCUAGAAGCAGAAACAAUUUGUAAACAUUCUUGGUCACCAGAAUUUUCUUGGAAAUGGAGCCGCCGGCUGCUCCCUCCCGUCGCUGGUCUCACUUUUAUGGUGGCCCCGGAAUAAACUUUGGUGGUCAAAUUCAAGUGCUAAGGCUGAACAGCUGUCUCCUCACAGGAAGGCAGCAACUGCCCCCACCCCCCAAACACACACUUUUACACUGGGUGUUCACAGCUAUUUACUUCUUAGGCUAUUGAUCCUUCACCACCACCCCCAACCAGUCCGCCCCCUCCAGGCCCCCAGCCUGGGGUCUGAGAAGGGGCCCUAGGAUGGGGGAAGAAGUUCGACUAGGGGAAGGAGGGGGAGUCAUAGCCUUGACCUGUGGGGGCAACUCCCUUUGUCUCUCUCAAGUUCCAUAUUACUAGAAAAAAGGGGUGUCUCUACUCCUUUCCCCAACUCAAGGCCCCAUCUUAGAAUGGGGAAUCUUCUUGUUUCUCAGGAAAAAAACAGCACCGUGGGGUCCUAGUGGACCUAUAAAAGCUACAGUCCAUACUUCUCUAACAUGAUAAUUAAAAACCCUGGCCCAAAUUACUCUCUAAUUGGGACAGAGAAGAAAAAAAGACAACGACUAUUUUGGCUAACUUCUGAGCUGUCUCUGACCUUUCCAUUCUUCUUAAAACUCUUAUUUUUACCGAUUCUAUUAUAUUUUCUAAUUUUGAUAGCUAUAUGUGUGUGUGUUUAUUUGUUCUGAAUAUGAAAGCUCUCCAUUUCUUUCAGCAUAUAUUCCGAACCAAGGCAAAAUGGAAUGAAAGGGGCUUGGGGCACCUCGAAAGGGAUUGAAGCAAAUUGGGAUUUGGGAUCUUGAGUUCAUCCCUGGUUUAGAGAGCUUAUUAGGAUAUUAACAAAAACAAUAGAAUGCUGGUGUCCGCUGUAGCUUGCCCAGCCCUUAGGCUGGGACGGAGACCACCGCUGGCUCCAGAUGUUGCCUUUAAUGGAGUACAAGUUUUGUUUUUUGUUUUUUUUUUUUCAGCACCCACAGGCAGCAGUAGCAGCCGGGCGCCAAAGAGUAUACGAAGAUGAUUUGGUUUGAGGGUAGGAAGACUGGGGUAGGGGGUCCCUAGACGAAGGCUAGAGAAAUUCCUCUGGCUACCAUUUCCAACAUAUCCUGGAUGGGCAAAAGAAAACAAAACCUUGGGAAACGAAAUAAAAAUGAAAACAAGUCGCCUAGCUAGAAGGUCCAGAACGAUCACAGUUCUGGCCAGCUUUCUCCCCCAAAAGGGAAGCUAGUGAACCUGCUCUCCACCAUUUGCGUCUGAAUUCAUUUAGGGUUAUUGCCAUUUUUUCGGGGGGUGAGGGUGGAGAAGACUGUUGGAAAUGUCUCAUUUGCCAUGUAUGUCCUUCUAGCCCCAAGCCGUUUUCUCUUUCUCACCAAGUGCAAGUCUGGCAUUCCUUCAAAUAAACUUCUUUUUUCCUGCUCAUUUGUGUCCAGUGUGGUCCGACCGAGGGUGAGUGGGAGAAGGAUUGGGGUAAGGGAGGAUCCCCCAUUAGAAAACUCUGGUGAAAUGACUCGCCCUUUCAGAGGGAACCAAAAACCAAAGGGAUGAGAAGGAAAGAACUAUGCCUGCCUGGAAGUGAGGAAACAAUAACAACAAAAAAUAUUCAGUACCCAAACCUUUUCCAACCCAGAAACUCCGCUGAGGAAAUGGGGUUGGGAGUCAGCAGCUGUCACCACCCCUGCCUUGGGAGAUGGAAAUUUUCCCCAAACUUGGGACCCGCCUCCUCUAAUGAAGUUUGGGGGCCCCACCAGUUUA